AUUAGAUAAAAAACCAAUGCCCUUCGGGGCUCCUUGGUGAUUCAUGAUAACUUCUCAGAUCGCAUGGCUUUACGCCGGCGACGGUUCAUUCAAAUUUCUGCCCUAUCAACUUUCGAUGGUAAGGUAUCGGCUUACCAUGGUUUCAACGGGUAACGGGGAAUUAGGGUUCGAUUCCGGAGAGGGAGCCUGAGAAACGGCUACCACAUCCAAGGAAGGCAGCAGGCGCGCAAAUUACCCAAUUCCGAUACGGAGAGGUAGUGACAAUAAAUACUGAUACAGGGCUCUUUUGGGUCUUGUAAUUGGAAUGAGUACAAUUUAAACCUCUUAACGAGGAACAAUUGGAGGGCAAGUCUGGUGCCAGCAGCCGCGGUAAUUCCAGCUCCAAUAGCGUAUAUUAAAGUUGUUGCAGUUAAAAAGCUCGUANUUGAACCUCUGGCCUGGCUGGCAGGUCCGCCUCACCGCGUGCACUUGUCCGGCCGGGCCUUUUCUUCUGGAGAACCGCAUGCCCUUCACUGG
rnacentral:rRNA from 1 species